rnacentral:rRNA from 1 species
UGAACGCUGGCGGCGUGCUUAACACAUGCAAGUCGAACGAACCUUCGGGUUAGUGGCGGACGGGUGAGUAACGCGUGAGAAUCUGCCCUCAGGAGGGGGAUAACGGUUGGAAACGACCGCUAAUACCCCAUAUGCCUAUUGGUGAAAUGAAUUUCGCCUGAGGAUGAGCUCGCGUCUGAUUAGCUAGUUGGUGAGGUAAUGGCUCACCAAGGCUUCGAUCAGUAGCUGGUCUGAGAGGAUGAUCAGCCACACUGGGACUGAGACACGGCCCAGACUCCUACGGGAGGCAGCAGUGGGGAAUUUUCCGCAAUGGGCGAAAGCCUGACGGAGCAACGCCGCGUGAGGGACGAAGGCCUCUGGGCUGUAAACCUCUUUUCUCAAGGAAGAAGAUAUGACGGUACUGAGGAAUAAGCCACGGCUA